GACGAACGCUGGCGGCGUGCUUAACACAUGCAAGUCGAACGGAAAGGCCCUGCUUUUGUGGGGUGCUCGAGUGGCGAACGGGUGAGUAACACGUGAGUAACCUGCCCUUGACUUUGGGAUAACUUCAGGAAACUGGGGCUAAUACCGGAUAGGAGCUCCUGCUGCAUGGUGGGGGUUGGAAAGUUUCGGCGGUUGGGGAUGGACUCGCGGCUUAUCAGCUUGUUGGUGGGGUAGUGGCUUACCAAGGCUUUGACGGGUAGCCGGCCUGAGAGGGUGACCGGCCACAUUGGGACUGAGAGACGGCCCAGACUCCUACGGGAGGCAGCAGUCGGGAAUAUGGCACAAUGGGCGGAAGCCUGAUGCAGCAACGCCGCGUGCGGGAUGACGGCCUUCGGGUGGUAAACCGCUUUCGCCGGUGACGAAGCGUGAGUGACGGUAAUGGGUAAGGAAGCACCGGCUAACUACGUG
rnacentral:rRNA from 1 species